rnacentral:rRNA from 1 species
UACGGAGGGUGCAAGCGUUGUCCGGAAUCAUUGGGCGUAAAGCGCGUGUAGGCGGUCCGGUAAGUCCGCUGUGAAAGUCGGGGGCUCAACCCUCGAAUGCCGGUGGAUACUGUCGGGCUAGAGUGCGGAAGAGGCGAGUGGAAUUCCUGGUGUAGCGGUGAAAUGCGCAGAUAUCAGGAGGAACACCAAUUGCGAAGGCAGCUCGCUGGGACGUUACUGACGCUGAGGGACGAAAGCUAGGGGAGCGAAAGGG